rnacentral:rRNA from 1 species
GAUUAAGUUAUUAAGGGCGCACGGUGGAUGCCUUGGCACUAGAAGCCGAUGAAGGACGUUACUAACGACGAUAUGCUUUGGGGAGCUGUAAGUAAGCUUUGAUCCAGAGAUUUCCGAAUGGGGAAACCCAGCAUGAGUUAUGUCAUGUUAUCGAUAUGUGAAUACAUAGCAUAUCAGAAGGCACACCCGGAGAACUGAAACAUCUUAGUACCCGGAGGAAGAGAAAGAAAAUUCGAUUCCCUUAGUAGCGGCGAGCGAAACGGGAAGAGCCCAAACCAACAAGCUUGCUUGUUGGGGUUGUAGGACACUCUAUACGGAGUUACAAAGGACGACAUUAGACGAAUCAUCUGGAAAGAUGAAUCAAAGAAGGUAAUAAUCCUGUAGUUGAAAAUGUUGUCUCUCUUGAGUGGAUCCUGAGUACGACGGAGCACGUGAAAUUCCGUCGGAAUCUGGGAGGACCAUCUCCUAAGGCUAAAUACUCUCUAGUGACCGAUAGUGAACCAGUACCGUGAGGGAAAGGUGAAAAGCACCCCGGAAGGGGAGUGAAAUAGAACCUGAAACUGUGUGCUUACAAGUAGUCAGAGCCCGUUAAUGGGUGAUGGCGUGCCUUUUGUAGAAUGAACCGGCGAGUUACGAUUUGAUGCAAGGUUAAGCAGUAAAUGUGGAGCCGUAGCGAAAGCGAGUCUGAAUAGGGCGUUUAGUAUUUGGUCGUAGACCCGAAACCAGGUGAUCUACCCUUGGUCAGGUUGAAGUUCAGGUAACACUGAAUGGAGGACCGAACCGACUUACGUUGAAAAGUGAGCGGAUGAACUGAGGGUAGCGGAGAAAUUCCAAUCGAACCUGGAGAUAGCUGGUUCUCUCCGAAAUAGCUUUAGGGCUAGCCUCAAGUGAUGAUUAUUGGAGGUAGAGCACUGUUUGGACGAGGGGCCCCUCUCGGGUUACCGAAUUCAGACAAACUCCGAAUGCCAAUUAAUUUAACUUGGGAGUCAGAACAUGGGUGAUAAGGUCCGUGUUCGAAAGGGAAACAGCCCAGACCACCAGCUAAGGUCCCAAAAUAUAUGUUAAGUGGAAAAGGAUGUGGCGUUGCCCAGACAACUAGGAUGUUGGCUUAGAAGCAGCCAUCAUUUAAAGAGUGCGUAAUAGCUCACUAGUCGAGUGACACUGCGCCGAAAAUGUACCGGGGCUAAACAUAUUACCGAAGCUGUGGAUUGUCCUUUGGACAAUGGUAGGAGAGCGUUCUAAGGGCGUUGAAGCAUGAUCGUAAGGACAUGUGGAGCGCUUAGAAGUGAGAAUGCCGGUGUGAGUAGCGAAAGACGGGUGAGAAUCCCGUCCACCGAUUGACUAAGGUUUCCAGAGGAAGGCUCGUCCGCUCUGGGUUAGUCGGGUCCUAAGCUGAGGCCGACAGGCGUAGGCGAUGGAUAACAGGUUGAUAUUCCUGUACCACCUAUAAUCGUUUUAAUCGAUGGGGGGACGCAGUAGGAUAGGCGAAGCGUGCGAUUGGAUUGCACGUCUAAGCAGUAAGGCUGAGUAUUAGGCAAAUCCGGUACUCGUUAAGGCUGAGCUGUGAUGGGGAGAAGACAUUGUGUCUUCGAGUCGUUGAUUUCACACUGCCGAGAAAAGCCUCUAGAUAGAAAAUAGGUGCCCGUACCGCAAACCGACACAGGUAGUCAAGAUGAGAAUUCUAAGGUGAGCGAGCGAACUCUCGUUAAGGAACUCGGCAAAAUGACCCCGUAACUUCGGGAGAAGGGGUGCUCUUUAGGGUUAACGCCCAGAAGAGCCGCAGUGAAUAGGCCCAAGCGACUGUUUAUCAAAAACACAGGUCUCUGCUAAACCGUAAGGUGAUGUAUAGGGGCUGACGCCUGCCCGGUGCUGGAAGGUUAAGAGGAGUGGUUAGCUUCUGCGAAGCUACGAAUCGAAGCCCCAGUAAACGGCGGCCGUAACUAUAACGGUCCUAAGGUAGCGAAAUUCCUUGUCGGGUAAGUUCCGACCCGCACGAAAGGCGUAACGAUUUGGGCACUGUCUCAACGAGAGACUCGGUGAAAUCAUAGUACCUGUGAAGAUGCAGGUUACCCGCGACAGGACGGAAAGACCCCGUGGAGCUUUACUGUAGCCUGAUAUUGAAAUUCGGCACAGCUUGUACAGGAUAGGUAGGAGCCUUUGAAACGUGAGCGCUAGCUUACGUGGAGGCGCUGGUGGGAUACUACCCUAGCUGUGUUGGCUUUCUAACCCGCACCACUUAUCGUGGUGGGAGACAGUGUCAGGCGGGCAGUUUGACUGGGGCGGUCGCCUCCUAAAAGGUAACGGAGGCGCUCAAAGGUUCCCUCAGAAUGGUUGGAAAUCAUUCAUAGAGUGUAAAGGCAUAAGGGAGCUUGACUGCGAGACCUACAAGUCGAGCAGGGUCGAAAGACGGACUUAGUGAUCCGGUGGUUCCGCAUGGAAGGGCCAUCGCUCAACGGAUAAAAGCUACCCCGGGGAUAACAGGCUUAUCUCCCCCAAGAGUUCACAUCGACGGGGAGGUUUGGCACCUCGAUGUCGGCUCAUCGCAUCCUGGGGCUGUAGUCGGUCCCAAGGGUUGGGCUGUUCGCCCAUUAAAGCGGUACGCGAGCUGGGUUCAGAACGUCGUGAGACAGUUCGGUCCCUAUCCGUCGUGGGCGUAGGAAAUUUGAGAGGAGCUGUCCUUAGUACGAGAGGACCGGGAUGGACAUACCUCUGGUGUACCAGUUGUCGUGCCAACGGCAUAGCUGGGUAGCUAUGUGUGGACGGGAUAAGUGCUGAAAGCAUCUAAGCAUGAAGCCCCCCUCAAGAUGAGAUUUCCCAACUUCGGUUAUAAGAUCCCUCAAAGAUGAUGAGGUUAAUAGGUUCGAGGUGGAAGCAUGGUGACAUGUGGAGCUGACGAAUACUAAUCGAUCGAAGACUUAAUCAA